ensembl:snRNA U6 U6 spliceosomal RNA
AUGCUCACUUCGGCAGUACAUAUACUAAAAUUGGAAUGAUACAGAGAUUAGCAUGGCCUCUGAACAAGAAUGAAAGGCAAAUUCGUGAAGCAUUCCAUAUUGGU